rnacentral:rRNA from 1 species
UACGGAGGGGUCAAGCGUUAUCCGGAUUCACUGGGUUUAAAGGGUGCGUAGGUGGGCUAGUAAGUCCGUGGUGAAAUCUCCAAGCUUAACUUGGAAACUGCCGUGGAUACUAUUAGUCUUGAAUAUUGUGGAGGUAAGCGGAAUAUGUCAUGUAGCGGUGAAAUGCUUAGAUAUGACAUAGAACACCGAUAGCGAAGGCAGCUUGCUACACAAUCAUUGACACUGAGGCACGAAAGCGUGGGGAUCAAACAGG